UAUUUGCAGCUCAUGUGGGGCGUUUCUACUGUCAUAACAGUCCUUCCCUUGGCCUCUCAAAUUUUCCCAUAUUCCCUCACACCAAAACAGCAAUCAAAAUUUGUGACAAUUACGUCAAUUUCGCGUUGAUUUUCCUUCAUCUAUCUGUAUCUGUGGGAAACAUCUCAACCGCUUGUGUGUAUCCGUGCCGUUGUGUCGUUAUGUAUCUUUAUCUGUAUCUGUAUCUGCAGCGCAUCUCUUGGCCAGCCAUUCAAUUCAUGCUCACACGUGUGUUUAUUUUGCCCCGAUUUCAGCGCGGGGGUGGCAUGUCAGUCAAAAAUCGAGGGGCCAAGUAGGAAACUUGUGAAUUCGUGUGGGCUGUAUUUAGUGUUACGGCAUUUGUGGCAUUGGCUUUUGGUUGUUAUGCCACACAGAUAUUUCACUCCUUUUGAGUGCCAUUAAAUAAUAAAACAAAUUUUAAUUCAUUUACAUAUUAGCGAAUGAGGAGGCAUCAUAGUAUUUUCUACUAAUGACAUUUUGCGUGACUGCGGUUGUAAUCUGAAAGUUCUCUGGUCCAAAAUAACCAUGACCAUCCAUCAAUCAAUGGUACAAUUUCAAUCCAUUCGUCCGUUCCGACUUUAGUUAACAGGUCUUAUCUGCGGACACAGGCCAUCAGAGUGCUGAAUCAUGCUCAACGUUAAUGUAAAUGCAAAUAAUUAUUUUCGCAGUUGGGAAGCGAGGGGGAAAAUUACCAGGUAGGCAAUGAUCGAGUAAUUAAGGAAUGUGGCCGAAAGCAAUAGCAACAAGCAAAGCGAAAGCAGACAAAUGUCGUAGAGCAAUUUACAAUUGUUUACCCUCCGUCGGGCCAACAGCCGAGGAAUCCAAACGAUUUGGGACGGGUCUUGGAUCGAUUUUAAUGAUAGAAUAUGACAGGCGAGUCGGAUAAUUUGCUAUUGCUUUGGUCCAAUCAAAAGGUCAAUCAAGUCAGCAGGGUGAACUGUGGUCAACCUGUGGGAAUCGAGAACUUGGAGUUUAUAAAAUUGAUGUGGGGUCUAUUAACCUCGUGAAAAUCAAACAACAGAUACGGAGUACCCAAAACAACUUAAGAUUUUCGUUGAACUGCGAUAGCGUGCUUAAUUAGAAGCGAUGUUAACACGCGACUGAGUGCGGCGAUAUGCCCACACAUUCUCCGGAUAUCUAAUUGUAUCUGCGUAUUUCGCAAAUUGAGAUAAAAGCCCGGCACACACGGCGUAUGAGUGUUUUUCUUUUUUCUCAGUGAGUACGCAGCCAGCGAAAUAACACCCCGCCCCGUUGGAUGUCGCCAUAAUUGCCGCGGGCAUCGAGAUCGCUCCAUGAAAUUGCGGAGCGGAGUAAGAAAAAAAAGCAGUAAACGUGUUUGGCCCCUAAUUUGAUUUGCUCGGCUUUGCGCGCUGCUUCGAUUUAAUUGAGCAACUUGGAUUUGUGUUACCUCGGAAUGCGUCUUCACUUCGGGCGUUCGGCGGAUGAGCUCAUGGCGUUCCACCGAUUGCCGGGGGAAACAUAUUCCGAAUGUCCGUUAAUUAUCGACAUUUGAUUGAUUGGCAACGGCGGCGCAUGGCUUUAAAUUUCUAGAUAGAUGGAAUAGUUUUCUCACUACUAAACCAUACCCAUCCAAUCAUCAAAUCAAAUUCGAUUGCAUUUUCAUACGUCAGAGGACUUAAACCCAUUGAACCGCAUGAGAGCCACUAAUAUUGACAGCGUCAACAGCGGAGACAGUAGCAACAAAAAGGAAGCUGAACACAAGAACAAUAAUAAUAAUAAUAAUAACAAUAAUAACAUGCCACUCCAAACGCGUCAAUGGCAUCAAAAUAUGCGUAGAACUUAACUUAAAUGAAAUAAAUAUUCGGGCAAAAAAAGAAGCACACCGAUAUAUGGAGAGCCUGCUAAUCAGACAUUCUAGUGGUUAAUGUAUGGCUAGAAAUUCAGUUUGUUUACGAUUUCUCUUUCAGCUUGGCUAGGCUAAUAAUCGGCCGAUUAUAAACAUGUAUAAAAACGGAUUUCUCAAUACAUAUUUAUUUUUGUGAAUUUUCUAUUUAUAUAUUGUAUUGUAUAUAGUUAUCAAAGACAUUUUAUGUGUAACUUUAAUUAGUUAAAAUAAGCUAAUAAGGUAAUGAUAUCAUCUAAUUAAUUUAUAAGUUUACAUGUUAUUUACUUACCUUAUUUAUGCUUGAUGUACUUUCCUUUAUAUAAAUUCUUAAUUUUAAACUAGUGCCUGUCAAGGCUUAUUAAUUAGAUACACUUUACCUCUACCCGUACUCAAGCCCUUUGGAAAUUAGUUUUCAGAUUAAACCCAUUCAUUCAUAGUCCUUAAUCAA